rnacentral:rRNA from 1 species
AAGUAUAGCAUAUACCGUGAAACUGCGAAUGGCUCAUAAAUCAGUUAUCGUUUAUUGAUAGUACCUUACUACUUGGAUAACCCGUGGUAAUUCUAGAGCUAAUACAUGCUAAAAACCCCGACUUCGGGAGGGGUGUAUUUAUUAGAUAAAAAACCAAUGCCCUUCGGGGCUCUCUGGUGAUUCAUAAUAACUUAACGGAUCGCAUGGCCUUGCGCCGGCGACGGUUCAUUCAAAUUUCUGCCCUAUCAACUUUCGAUGGUAAGGUAUUGGCUUACCAUGGUUUCAACGGGUAACGGGGAAUUAGGGUUCGAUUCCGGAGAGGGAGCCUGAGAAACGGCUACCACAUCCAAGGAAGGCAGCAGGCGCGCAAAUUACCCAAUCCCGACACGGGGAGGUAGUGACAAUAAAUACUGAUACAGGGCUCUUUUGGGUCUUGUAAUCGGAAUGAGUACAAUUUAAACCCCUUAACGAGGAACAAUUGGAGGGCAAGUCUGGUGCCAGCAGCCGCGGUAAUUCCAGCUCCAAUAGCGUAUAUUAAAGUUGUUGCAGUUAAAAAGCUCGUAGUUGAACCUUGGGCCUGGCUGGCCGGUCCGCCUCACCGCGUGUACUGGUCCGGCCGGGCCUUUCCUUCUGGAGAACCACAUGCCCUUUACUGGGUGUGCCGGGGAACCAGGACUUUUACUUUGAAAAAAUUAGAGUGUUCAAAGCAGGCCUUUGCUCGAAUACGUUAGCAUGGAAUAAUAGAAUAGGACGUGCGGUCCUAUUUUGUUGGUUUUCAGGACCGCCGUAAUGAUUAAUAGGGAUAGUCGGGGGCAUCAGUAUUCAAUUGUCAGAGGUGAAAUUCUUGGAUUUAUUGAAGACUAACUACUGCGAAAGCAUUUGCCAAGGAUGUUUUCAUUAAUCAGUGAACGAAAGUUAGGGGAUCGAAGACGAUCAGAUACCGUCGUAGUCUUAACCGUAAACUAUGCCGACUAGGGAUCGGGCGAUGUUUCUAUCUUGACUCGCUCGGCACCUUACGAGAAAUCAAAGUUUUGGGUCUG